GAUGAACGCUGGCGGCGUGCCUAAUACAUGCAAGUCGAGCGAACAGACGAGGAGCUUGCUCCUCUGACGUUAGCGGCGGACGGGUGAGCAACACGUGAAUAACUUACUUAUAAGACUGGGAUAACUUCGGGAAACCGGAGCUAAUACCGGAAAAUAUAUUAAUCCGCAUGGUUGCAUAGUGAAAAACGGUUUUGUUCUCAUUUAUAGAUGCAUCGUCGCCGAAUUAUCUAGUUGGUAAGGUAAGGGCUUACCAAGCCAAUGAUCAGUAGCCCACCUGGGAGGGUGAUCGGCCCAACGGGAACUGGACAACGGUCCGAACUCCUACGGGAGGAGGCAGAAGGGAAUCUUCCGCAAUGGGCGAAGGCUUGACGGAGCAACCCCGCGUGAGUGAUGAAGGUCUUCGGAUCGUAAGACUCUUUUAAUAGGGAGGAACAAAUGUGUAAGUAACUGUGCACGUCUUGACGGUACCUAAUCAGAAAGCCACGGCUAACUACGUG
rnacentral:rRNA from 1 species